GCCUGCUUAUCAAAAACAUGUUUGUUUGGAGCUAUAGAGAAUUUAGCCUGCCCCCUGAUAAGUAAAUUAAAGGGCCGCAGUAUUUUAACUGUGCAAAGGUAGCAUAAUCAUUAGGUUUUUAAUUGAAAUCUUGUAUGAAUGGCUGGACAAAAGAAAAUCUUUCUUUAUAUUAAAUUUUGAAUUUAACUUUUAAGUGAAAAGGCUUAAAUGUCCCAGGGAGACGAUAAGACCCUGUAAAACUUCACAUUAUAAUUGAAAUUUAAUUUAAUUUAAAUAUAAAAGUUUUAUUAGGUUAUUUGUUAUGUUGGGGAGACAUAGGUAAAAUUUUUUAUUGUAACUGCUUUAGGAGUUUAACAAUUAUUAUUGGGGCGUAAUAGAUCCUUUUUAAAGAUUAAUAAGUUAAGUUACUUUAGGGAUAACAGCGUAAUUUCUUUUAAGAGUUCUUAUCGAAAAAGAAGAUUGCGACCUCGAUGUUGAAUUAAAAUAUCUAUAUAAUGGAGGAGUUAUAUAAGAAGGUCUGUUCGACCUUUAAAUUUUUACAUGAUUUGAGUUCAAACCGGUGUGAGCCAGGUUGAUUUCAAUCUC
rnacentral:rRNA from 1 species